rnacentral:rRNA from 1 species
GUAUAUUAAAGUUGCUGCAGUUAAAAAAGCUCGUAGUUGAAUUUCUGUUUGUAAGAGUCGAAGCUUUACAGCUAAAGGAUUUCUUCCGAACAUCUGUUUGCAAGCAUACGUUCGGCCUUCACUGGUUGGCUAUGUAAGCAAGCGCUUUACCUUGAGAAAAUUAGAGUGUUCCAGGCAGGCUUCAGCCGGAAUACAUUAGCAUGGAAUAAUGGAAUAGGACUGGGGACUAUUUAUUGGUUUGAGGCUCCAGUAAUGAUUAAUAGGAACAGUCGGGGCAUUGGUACUUAACAGUCAGAGGUGAAAUUCUUGGAUUUGUUAAAGACUAACUAAUGCGAAAGCAUUUGCCAAGCAUGUUUUCAUUAAUCAAGAACGAAAGUUAGGGGAUCAAAAGACGAUUAGAUACCGUCCUAGUCUUAACUGUAAACGAUUCCAUCUUAGAAUUGGGUGAAUAUUUCGAUGAUUCAUCCAGCGCUAUAAGAGAAAUCAAAGUC